GGCUGGAUUUCCACAUUUAAUAAUAGACAAAAAAAAUUGUCAUUCUUUUAUGUACAUCAAUAAUUACAAGGUCAGUAAGCUAUUAUCCUCAAGUUUUACAUGUAGUUGUCAUCAGCUUCUAGUAAUGCUUGUUCAUCCUACUCUGCUGUCUUACAUACAAAAUAUGCACUGUAGUCACAUUUUUAAAAGCCGAGAGAGGUUCGCCAUAAAUGAUUUUUUUUAAACCAGUCAACAAAUAUCAUUCACAAUACUUUCUCAUUAUUUACAAAAGAACAGCAACUGCUAAAUUAUACAUAUUAACAACCUACUUCCUCAAGAUAUAUAAUGCCUCUAUACAAAAAGGAAGGAGGAGGAAAAACGAUAGAGGGGGUAAUGCCUGAAUUUACAAUGACCUUAUUCGGAUGCUUAAACCUAGGUGUUACAGCAUUUUAAGUACAGGUUAAUGCUGCUAGUGUCUACUUGUGAAUAUUAGGAACGUUUCCAGUUACUAAACACACUUUAUGAACAUGUAUCUGCUGUACAUUUCUACCAGCGAAUACAGAGAUUAAUAAAGUGAAAUAAGGCCACUGUAAAGUUUCAGUGUUACCCUAGUAAAGUUUGAGGCCUGGAAAGCGGAGCAAAAUAGAGGAAGCUGCCCAUCUCUUCGAACCAAAAACAAAAAUAAAUGGACAGGUAAACAGGGCAGUGACAGUGUACACACUUUAAAUGUUUCCCUUUGCAAACUUCCACACUCCCUCUAAGAUAUUUUGAGCUGCUCAGGAGCACUUCACACCCUGGUAACACCGAAUGGUAGCGGGAGGUAAUCGGCUGGAGAAUCUGAACUUUAGGACCCAGGAAUCUCGUAAUGCGACAUCAGCAGAGUGCACACGCUAAAGUUCAUGUUUACCAACAGGGCUGGGCUUUAAUGCGUUUAGACCAAGGGGAGAAAGUCAACAGAUUUAGCUUCGGCCUGCCCACAUCGACGUUAAAACGGAGUGUAUUGUGCUCUUAGGUUUUGAUUUGUCGCAUCAAUUUGGUCUUACAAAAAACACGGGACCCAUACUGGAGCUAGAUUUCUGAUUUUAAAAAAGAGAAAGAAGGCAUUUCAUAUAUAUUCUCAUGCAUCCACCACCGUUCCUGCAAUGCUGGCAAAGAUUCCUCAACACAUCAUAGCGAGGAAAAAAAGCCAGUGAUUCCAUGUUUGACCGAUGAAAACAAAAAGCAGCUUUCCUGCAGCUUUACAACCCUCCUCCAAGCAAUAUUUAACACUAAUCCACCAAACAAAAUAGGGCACACUGAGGCCAUCUUCCAGCUCCGUAGAGGUAUAAUCAUUUACUAUUUAAGGAUGGCAAGACUAAAUUAGCAAAUGCAUGCCCUUUUUCCCCCAUAGCUGCUUUACAAUAAAUGCCUUACAGAUAGAUUCAAACUAUUAUAUUCCAAGUAAAGGUUUUGAUUAAAAUGUGACUUCAAAAGUAAAUAAGAGAGGAAGAAAAUGAAUGUGCAGGUAUGUUUCUUAGUAAUUUGAAAGAACGGUUAUGUUUGACUGGUUUUAAUCUGGGAUGUUUUUCGUGUUGCUGCCAAAAAUCAUUUUAGCAGAAAUUUGAACGAUUAUGUUUUGUAUUUACACUUGAAAUUUUCCCGCUACAGAUAUAUAACAUUUUUUGAGUACAGUUUCCAGUUUUGCGCUGAAAUGACUGCUAGCUUAUCCUGAUUGCACAGACAACAAAGUAGCUCCACCCCCACUGGUAUGCAGGUGGAAACCUUUCUGUAAAGCAUCGACUGCAGGAGGCAAUCGAUUUCCAUCAGGAGCCGUGUUUAAAGGUACCCUACGCAUCAGCAUUAUUAUUUUUUUUUAACUGUACACAAACACAUCUGUCCCAGUGAUUUGAUGCUAAUCCACUGGGGAAAAACAAAGGAAAACAAAAAAAGCAGCAAUGCAUCAGAGCAAAAACAUGCUGUGCAGGUUAAGACAUUUAAAGGUGCAAUAUGUAUAGAUUUAACUUUUCCAAAGACGUCUAUACAGCACACAUAUCUACCGAAUUUGGCAUGCUAACCUGCCAACACUGACCCGUACUCUUACACAAUUGCACUUUGCACUAAAGAAUCCAGUCUGCACUCGGCACAGUAUCAGAGAAAAAACAAAAAACAAAAACACUUUUCUUUUAUACAGACACUGAGGACCGGGAACUUUUAGCAGCAGACGGCAGACAUGAGCACUGUUUGUGCCCCAUUGUGAGUUUUAAAGAAAGACAGGCUAAGAAACAAAAACAAGGCUGCUUAGGAUCUAGACUAGCUGCUAAUGCUAAUGCAAAACCUUCCCACUGCUACCCUAAAGUAAGGUGUUCUACAUAUUGCACCUUUAAAAUUUUGGUUUGCAAAAGAAAAAGUAAAAUCCUUCAGCAUGCUUGCAAGAUACUGACUAAACAUCCA
ensembl:lncRNA